rnacentral:rRNA from 1 species
GACGAACGCUGGCGGCGUGCUUAACACAUGCAAGUCUAACGGUAAGGCUCCAGCUUGCUGGGGUACACGAGUGGCGAACGGGUGAGUAACACGUGGGUGACCUGCCCUGCACUUCGGGAUAAGCCUGGGAAACUGGGUCUAAUACCGGAUAGGACCGCACCGUGAGGGUGUGGUGGAAAGUUUUUUCGGUGUGGGAUGGGCCCGCGGCCUAUCAGCUUGUUGGUGGGGUAAUGGCCUACCAAGGCGGCGACGGGUAGCCGGCCUGAGAGGGUGGACGGCCACAUUGGGACUGAGACACGGCCCAGACUCCUACGGGAGGCAGCAGUGGGGAAUAUUGCACAAUGGGCGGAAGCCUGAUGCAGCGACGCCGCGUGGGGGAUGACGGCCUUCGGGUUGUAAACUCCUUUCACCAUCGACGAAGGGUUUCUGACGGUAGAUGGAGAAGAAGCACCGGCUAACUACGUGCCAGCAGCCGCGGUAAUACGUAGGGUGCGAGCGUUGUCCGGAAUUACUGGGCGUAAAGAGCUCGUAGGUGGUUUGUCGCGUCGUCUGUGAAAUUCCGGGGCUUAACUCCGGGCGUGCAGGCGAUACGGGCAUAACUUGAGUACUGUAGGGGAGACUGGAAUUCCUGGUGUAGCGGUGAAAUGCGCAGAUAUCAGGAGGAACACCGGUGGCGGAGGCGGGUCUCUGGGCAGUAACUGACGCUGAGGAGCGAAAGCAUGGGGAGCGAACAGGAUUAGAUACCCUGGUAGUCCAUGCCGUAAACGGUGGGCGCUAGGUGUGGGUUUCCUUCCACGGGAUCCGUGCCGUAGCUAACGCAUUAAGCGCCCCGCCUGGGGAGUACGGCCGCAAGGCUAAAACUCAAAGGAAUUGACGGGGGCCCGCACAAGCGGCGGAGCAUGUGGAUUAAUUCGAUGCAACGCGAAGAACCUUACCUGGGCUUGACAUAUACAGGAUCGCGCCAGAGAUGGUGUUUCCCUUGUGGCUUGUAUACAGGUGGUGCAUGGUUGUCGUCAGCUCGUGUCGUGAGAUGUUGGGUUAAGUCCCGCAACGAGCGCAACCCUUGUCCUAUGUUGCCAGCACGUUGUGGUGGGGACUCGUAAGAAACUGCCGGGGUUAACUCGGAGGAAGGUGGGGAUGACGUCAAAUCAUCAUGCCCCUUAUGUCCAGGGCUUCACACAUGCUACAAUGGUCGGUACAGUGGGUUGCCAGUCCGUGAGGGCGAGCUAAUCCCGCAAAGCCGGUCUCAGUUCGGAUCGGGGUCUGCAACUCGACCCCGUGAAGUCGGAGUCGCUAGUAAUCGCAGAUCAGCAACGCUGCGGUGAAUACGUUCCCGGGCCU